GCACUGCUGAGGAGUCCUACAAUAGGACGAAACGGCCGUUCAAUGC
rnacentral:hammerhead_ribozyme from 1 species